rnacentral:rRNA from 1 species
AGAGCGAACGCUGGCGGCAGGCUUAACACAUGCAAGUCGAACGGAUCCUUCGGGAUUAGUGGCGGACGGGUGAGUAACACGUGGGAACGUGCCUUUAGGUUCGGAACAACACAGGGAAACUUGUGCUAAUACCGGAUGUGCCCUUCGGGGGAAAGAUUUAUCGCCUUUAGAGCGGCCCGCGUCUGAUUAGCUUGUUGGUGAGGUAAAGGCUCACCAAGGCUACGAUCAGUAGCUGGUCUGAGAGGAUGGCCAGCCACAUUGGGACUGAGACACGGCCCAAACUCCUACGGGAGGCAGCAGUGGGGAAUCUUGCGCAAUGGGGGAAACCCUGACGCAGCCAUGCCGCGUGGAUGAUGAAGGUCUUAGGGUUGUAAAGUCCUUUUAACGGGGAAGAUAAUGACGGUACCGUAGAAUAAGCCCGGCUAACUUCGUGCCAGCAGCCGC